UACACACCGCCCGUCACACCACGAAAGUCUGCUGUACCAGAAGCCGUUGAGCUAACCCGCAAGGGAGGCAGACGUCGAAGGUAUGGUAGGUAAUUGGGUG
rnacentral:rRNA from 1 species